UACAGAGGUCCCGAGCGUUUGUUCGGAUUCACUGGGCGUAAAGGGUGCGUAGGUGGUUGGGUAAGUUUGAUGUGAAAGCUCAGGGCUUAACCCUGAAAUGGCAUUGAAUACUACUCAACUGGAGGUUUGGAGGGGGGACUGGAAUUCUUGGUGUAGCAGUGAAAUGCGUAGAUAUCAAGAGGAACACCAGUGGCGAAGGCGAGUCCCUGGACAACACCUGACACUGAGGCACGAAAGCUAGGGGGAGCAAACAGG
rnacentral:rRNA from 1 species